rnacentral:pre_miRNA from 1 species
CUCGUACUCCCUCCGUCCGAAAAUACUUGUCAUUGAAAUGGAUGUAUCUAGAUGUAUUUUAGUUCUAGACACAUCCAUUUUGAUGACAAGUAUUUCCGGACGGAGGGAGUACUUG